UUUGUUUCAUUGAUAUUUUUAAGUAGCAUUCCCUUAUUUUGGAAUAUUGUUCAUUUGUUCUUCCCUCAUGUUAUUGGCUGGUAUUCUUAACAGGAUCCUAAGAGUUCAAAGUCAAAAGUUAUUCAUGAUAACAGAAGUGAAAAGGAAUUGAAGACAAAAAAGGUUGUUCAUGAACCUAAGCCUUCUGCCUCAGAGAAGCUUGUUCCUAAAGCACGUCAGAAUGCAAACAGGCCCAAGCAGGUUGAGAAUUCAACUAAGUCAGGCAUGAAACAAAGCUUGGCUGUGUUCAAUUUCAAAAGUGAGGAACGGGCAGAAAGGAGGAAAGAGGCAAGA